CAACUAUGUAGCGGCGCUGUUCAGAACCAGAACUUCCGGCGAGUGAGAGAGUACCGAAACAAAACCCUUUGGUUGUAAGAAGCCUCUACCCGGAAGGGACUGCGAACGAUUGGCAUCCCUCUGCCUCUUGAACAUUUGGAGUUGUACGGCCUAUGAAGGGGGAAUCAAAAUCUUUAAUUUCUCUUUAAUUUGCCUAAGGGUGUUGGGUCAUUUGAGCGAAAAGUACUUCGAUGGAAAGGUGAUCCCAUUCACAUUUGUUACCCAAAUGCCAACUUUUGGUGCAUUUCUACUAUAUCUGUAAAUAUGAGGUUCAUAGUUCAGGGCUCAUAAAAGAUCAAUCAAGUGGAGCUGUUGAAGAGGAUUUUGCAUAUAGAUGUUUUGGUGGAUAAGCUCUCGGUAUUGGCUAUAGACAGGGUGCUUACAAGGUUAGUUAUGGGUUUCCAGAGUUGUUGGUGUUGUUUCUUGGCUAAUUGCCAGGAAAAGGCUUUGAAGACUGUUAAUAUGACCUUUGCAACAGUAAAUUGUCAAUUUGAAGAAGCCAUUGGAAAAUAUGAGUACAGUUGCACAACAAGAGGAAAGGGCUGAACAAUAAUAGAAGAGGGCUCCACAACAAGAGACAAGGGUUGAGCAACAGGAUAGUCUCAUGGUUAUCAUGUAGAGGCGAAUGGAAAAAAUGGAGAAGCUUAUCUGAAGGCUUCCUGAGGCAUUAUUAAAUGCUGAGGAUGACGACGAGACUCAGCCCCCUGGUCUCAUGACCUAGGUGAUGACCAUGACUAUGUAGGUCAUUCACCAACAUGACUUAUGUAUCUUGUUUGGAUGUAUAUGACAUGGACUAUUGUACAUGACCUAUUGUACAUAGACUUUUUUCAUUAGUAUAUAAAAAGAACUUUU